rnacentral:rRNA from 1 species
CACGUAGGGCGCAAGCGUUGUCCGGAAUUAUUGGGCGUAAAGAGCUCGUAGGCGGUCUGUUGCGUCCGCUGUGAAAACUCGGGGCUUAACCCCGAGCCUGCAGUGGAUACGGGCAGACUAGAGGUAGGUAGGGGAGAAUGGAAUUCCCGGUGUAGCGGUGAAAUGCGCAGAUAUCGGGAGGAACACCAGUGGCGAAGGCGGCUCACUGGCCCGGAACUGACGCUGAGACGCGAAAGCAUGGGGAGCGAACAGG